UACAGAGGUCCCGAGCGUUGUUCGGAUUCAUUGGGCGUAAAGGGUGCGUAGGCGGCUUUCUAAGUCUGAUGUGAAAUCCUGGGGCUCAACCCUGGAACUGCAUUGGAUACUGGGAGGCUAGAGAACUGGAGAGGAGACUGGAAUUUACGGUGUAGCAGUGAAAUGCGUAGAGAUCGUAAGGAAGACCAGUGGCGAAGGCGAGUCUCUGGACAGUUACUGACGCUGAGGCACGAAGGCCAGGGGAGCAAACGGG
rnacentral:ncRNA from 2 species